ACAGUUCGCUAAGCAUUCUCCUGCAGAAUGCUUUAGUAUAGUUUUGCUGUGAUAAGAGAAAACAUUGUGGUAGUCUUGUGGACACUAUUUUAAAACAUGGAAUUAUAAGUAAUUAAGAUAAAGUGAUAGAGUCGUGCAAAUAAAAAAAGAAAAUAGCCAGAAUUCUCACGAGGAAGUCCAGAAGUGAAUAAGAAAAAAAAAGUUGUGAACAAGACAAGCACGGAAUUUGUUUUUUUUUGGGGGAGAAGGGGAGCAGAAAAUAUGGAGUAGAAGUUGGCACAAUCGCUCAGUGAUCCUCAAUCUCGCGCCCAUUCACAAUGCCAUCGCCGGGCGUCUUGGGCGACAGCCAGCACAAUUCGGCAGAGGAGAUCCAGAUCGGCCUGGCGCCCUACAUCCAACACUAUCUGUCACAGACCGGCCGGAGACACUCCUGUUGCAGUGUCAUGUUGCCCGUGGCAUUCGAAAGGGCAGCUCCCAAGGCCUGGUGGGAUCCCAAGUUCGAUUCAGCCAUCCUCGAGGGUCAAUACCAGUCCAGUGUCUUUCCUCAGCUGCGUCUCAGAUUUCGAUUUGCCCUCCUCUACAUCCUCCUGUGUUCAGUGGUCUGGAUGAUUUACUUUCUCACUGUGGCGAAGCUAAACUCAUUGGUUUCGAUUGCUUUUGGAUUGUGCAUAGUCUUCUGUUUGAUAACCGUUUGGCUCACAUAUUCUAAAUUUUAUGAGAACAGAACGCACCUGGUGACUUUUUGUGUAGCUUCCAGCAUUUGCUUGCUAUCCUUGCUCUUUGUCAGUUUAUCUGGGAGGAGUUUCUCUGCACUUGGACACUUUGCCACAUGCAUCGAAGUCAUCCUGUUGAUUUAUACCCUGAUGCCUCUUCCACUGUGGCAAUGCGUUUCCAUCUCUGUUCUCUACUCGAUUCUCUUCGAGACGCUUCACUUCAUCUUCCAGAGUUUCUAUUACAGUGGGUCCCAGGAGGAUUCAUCGACUCCUUAUAGAGUGUUAGUGGUGAGAUGUCUCCUGCAUCUCUGUGUCCAUAUGGUAGGACUUCAUGUGUUAGUGAUGAAUGUUGUGAGAAUGAGGUGCACAUUCAUGAAGGUUGGACAGAAUCUCCUGAUCCGAAGGCAAUUGGAGAUGGAGAAGCAACUGAAGGAAAAGAUGAUCCAUUCAGUGAUGCCUCCAAAAGUCGCUGAUAUGCUAAUGAAGGAGGGAUCUACAAUGGAAACUGGUUCUGACCACAAACGCUCCUGCUCAAUCCAUCCUAGGCUCUCCAAUGAUGUCAAGUCUCUGUUUAGACCCUUUCACAUGCACUCCAUGGACAAUGUCAGCAUCCUGUUUGCUGACAUCGUGGGCUUCACCAAAAUGUCUACCACCAAGACUGCUGAGCAGCUGGUGGAGAUACUCAAUGAUCUCUUUGAGCGUUUCGACGAAUUGUGUACGCUAAACGGCUGCGAGAAGAUCUCAACCCUUGGAGAUUGCUACUAUUGCGUAUCCGGAUGUCCGGAACCCAGGGCAGAUCAUGCAAUGUGCUGCGUAGAGAUGGGCUUGGGCAUGAUUCAGGCAGUGAGGAUCUUCGAUGCACAGAAAAAUGAAGGAGUCAAGAUGAGAGUAGGAGUUCACACGGGAUCAGUUCUCUGUGGUAUCGUAGGGACAAGGAGAGUCAAGUUCGACGUCUGGAGCAACGAUGUUACCUUAGCCAAUCGGAUGGAGUCGACUGGAACGCCGGAGCAAGUGCAUAUAUCCGAGGAGACGCGCAAAUUCCUGGGCGAUGGGUACAUAUUCAAGGAGGGUGAUGAGGUAUUUGGUCAUCGAACGUACUUCGUGGUGGGCAAGAAGUGCAAUUCAAUGGAUGCCAGCAGGAGUGAGGUGGAUGUCUCCAAAGCGGGUGCAUGUUUGCUGAUCCCUCAGUUUGAUGGUUUCACGAAUGGUGUUCAACUAUCGCGUAGUGUCACCAAUUUAUCCUCAAUUCAGCCUACAGUUCCACCAGCUUCUCCAAUCGGUGUCACAUCAACUUCCCUCACUCCAAGUCCCAUCCUGUCAACGAGACCUAGGCUGGCAUCUCUAAGCCGGGUCACCAAGUAUCUAACUGGGAGCAAUCAUGCUGCCAUUGAGGUGUCAAAUAGACUAGGAAGUCAGCCUGCAGCUCCAACAAUCAUCGUGACGACCAAAUCUCUGCCUGGAAGCUUGGAUUCUGACACAGAGGACACCUGCUGCCGGGGAGGAUCCCACCGCAAGACUGACGAGGAAAAACAAGCCAUGCGGAAGUACUCAGCUAAGCUGCGAGGCUGGCGAGUACCUCGCUUCCUCCGGAAGACUGAUGAUAUCCAGCCCGAGGGACGCACGAAAGAUGACUGUGAUAGUGCCAGAAAGGCCGAACCGUUGCUCUGUACGGAUCAGAAUGGAUACCAGCAGGUUCCAGUGGUUGUAGAGACUCCAGCUCCUCCAACACACACCCUCGAGAUUCCCCGAGCUGCUGGUUCCAAUUGCUCACCCAGUCAGGGCUCCAUGUUCGAUGAUAUAAUUGACGUGAGGUCCUACAUCUCCCAUUCCCGCAGCGACAUCUCCCCCUUUGGCCGCUCCGGUAGCUACAGAUCCCAGUGUGGGAGAUCUCCUCAGGGGGCUGGAGGAGAACUCACUCCUGGUGCCUGUGGAAGAUCACGAAGCUCAACAAUGGCCCCUAUUGCUGUGAGUUUGCAGCAGAGGAACUGCUCAAGUCCCUGGAUUGAAGUACUGAGUAUGUGCCCUUCGGCUCAUAGUCGGAAGGAUUCUGGGAUUAGGAGCAAUUCCCGACGAUCUAGCGUCCACAACGCUAACGGAGUUCCAUCUCUGGGUGCUUCGGCUCAGAGAGUUUCUGGCUAUUUUACCAGUUCCCAAUCGAGUUUAGCUGGUACACCAAAUCACGUCAACGAGGCUCCCUACGUAGAUCCCCUGGCGGCUUGUUUGCAUCAACUCCGGAAGCAAUCGGAUCUGCAAUUGAUCCGUUGUGUCAAGGAGAAUGCAAAGUCUCAGCGGAGUUACCUGGUAAAGCCACCAGUAUCGAAUAUUACGCUCUUUUUCAAGUCCUGGCAGAUGGAACGAGAAUUCCGGAGCAAAGCCCAUCGAUUUGGGCAGGAAAAUAUGGGAGAAGGUCCACCAACUCUGGCUACUCCUCGCUACAAUACCUACAUCGAUUUAUUGGUGAGUGUGUUCAUCUUCCUGACUGUCUCACUGUCGCUCUUCCUCCUAGUGCCCAUCACAAUGAGUGUUGGGUAUCAGAUUUGGGUGGCUUUGUUUGCCAUAUUCAGUGCCAUUCAGUUUCUGGCAGUUUUUGUAUGCUCUAAGCAAAUGAUCCGGCUAUCGCAUGGACAAACUAAAUCUGACACUUGCACUGAUCGGAUUUUUAAUGCCGUGUCCAAUUGGUAUCCAUGGCAUCUCUGUGGUUCAAUUUUGAUGUCUCUGCCCGUGAUCUCGAUCUUCCUAAACCUCACCACGCUGGACAUGGACACAUUGACCCCUUAUGAAUUCCACUAUGGGCUGUUGCUCUUCAUCUGUGUCAUCCACUACUGCAACUUCACACAACUCAAUUGCUGGCUUCGGAACUUGCUGGCUCUCCUGGCGGCAGUGGCUUUCAUCGGGAUUACUUGCUACCAAUGGAAUUCCUUCGUGACGCUUCAAGGAAAGGGUUUGGAAGCUAGAGAAGCCUUCAUCAUCCCGCCUCAUUCGCUCAACUUCACCAAUCCAAAAGGCAGCAAUCUCGCUGAAUUCCUCAAUGAUGAAAUUCGCUUCUUGAAAUUCUACCAGAUUGAGAUUUACAUCGAUCUCAUCCUUCUCCUCUUUCUGGUUUGCUUCCUCAAUCGCGAGUACGAAAUUGGCUAUCGAUUGACGUUCUAUGGCAGUGCUGUUGCCAAUCAGGACAAAAUCCGGGUGCAGCAUAUGAAAAAUCAGGCUGAUAUGCUCCUGCACAACAUUAUCCCUAAGCAUGUGGCUGAACAACUGAAGAAUACAGCCAAGUACUCAGAAAACUAUCACGAUGUCGGAAUAAUCUUUGCCAGCAUCAUCAACUUCAACGAGAUGUACGAUGAAUCAUACCUGGGCGGGAAGGAAUACUUGAGAGUACUCAACGAGCUAAUAGGGGACUUUGACGAAUUGCUUUCUCGACCAGAAUUCCAGUGUGUUGAGAAGAUUAAGUCCAUCGGAAGCACUUUUAUGGCAGCCAGCGGAUUAGAUCCGUCAACUCGCGGAGAGGGCUAUCAGCAUCUCCAGGCCCUCAUUGAAUUCUCCUGUGCCAUGCAAAACGUCGUGGAUGCCUUCAACAAGGAUCUCCUGGAGUUCAAUCUGAUCUUGCGAAUUGGCUACAAUAUUGGAGAUGUUACAGCUGGUGUUAUUGGCACCAGUAAGCUGUACUACGACAUCUGGGGAGAUGCUGUAAAUGUAGCCAGUCGAAUGGACUCCACAGGAGUCGCUGGGAGAAUUCAAGUGGGCAAAGAAUGCCUCCCAUACCUCGAGAGUGUCUACGACUUUGAACCCCGGGGAAGUGUCUAUGUGAAGGGGAAGGACAAUAUGGAAGUGUAUCUACUCAAAGGGAAGAAAACCUUUCCACAGGGAAAGUCCUGAACACACUGAAAGAACUGACUCAAUUCCCAGAAGUCAGUUGGAAAUUGCAGCUUCAGAAAUGACAACACUGCUUCAGAGUUUUUAGAAUGGUAAAGCAUCACAACCAUAAAUCUCUUCGUGGAGCUUUUCCGUUUUUCUUUGGGAGCUUUUAGCCUAAAAAAACAAAAGAAACAUUCUUCUGAGAGAUCGCAACAGAAUCCUUUACUAAGCGUGAUGUUUGAUAAGAGAAAAAAAUGUUGUCAAUUUAUUUUAAUGUUCUUUAGUAUUAAUGGUUUCCAAAAUUGUGAGAUUUAUGCGAUAUUGUAAUAAUUGUAUAUUUUAUUUUGUACAUAACAAAGCAUUUUGUAAGCAAGGCGCCAUAAAAAAAACAGCCAAUAUUGUGUAGAAUUUGUGAAAGAAAGUAAAAAAAAACAAGUAAUAAAAUUCCCUAUAAAUUGUUAGAUUGACAAUGAAAUGUCCCCUUGAAAGAAAUACCCAUAAAUCCUCUACUAUACUUUUAUUCCAUUCAACCCAGAAAGCUUUAAUGAAGCUUUAAUGUGAGUCUCCAGUGACUUAGAAUUUUCUCUAGGGAAUCCAUACAAUUUUUUUCCUUUCAUAGAUACUAAACUCAUUAAAAUGUAACUAGGACACAUACUUUCCCAAUAGUUUUGAAUUCACCUAAAAUUAAACAACAUUUACAAGUUAAUGCUCAAAAUUUUACAUCAAAAUUUGCAGCACAAAGAAUUUUGGUCUCCACAGAGAUUUGCACAAUAAUUAAGGUUCUUAAUAUUGUUCUCCUAUCUCUGAUACUAACACUAAUCCAAUGACUUUUUAAAGUUUAUGAAAAUCAAUUGAACUUGUGAUUACUUUUGAAACAGAAAAAAAAUAUAAAUUCCAACAGAUAAUUGUAAACGUUUCAUAUUAUAUAAAACUUUACCUAACAAUCAAUGUAAAAGUUUUAUUUUUUCAAUCUGCAAGUCAAACAAUAUUGAAUUUCAACCAGAUACUUUCAUCACAGAGACAAACACAAAACUUUUUCAAUUUGACUGUACUGAGAUAAUGAAACUAAACUAUUUUUUAUUGACUUAAAGUAUAGUAGAAUUUGUAUCAAAGUGUAGAAAAAUUAACUAUUAAAUAUUUUAUGUAUUUGUU